GUUCACAGAGGACAGUGAGGGCGUCUUCAUCUCAGAGAUGUGUGUCUUGAUGAGAGAGUGUGCGCAUGUAUAACCCAGCUUCACCUGAAAGAGAAAGUUUGGUUCGUUUGGGGAAGUGUGAACGUGCGAUCGGACCAAAACAGCGAACUCUGGUUAAUCUACAAACCAACGUCUCCGUUCGGUUGAAGUGAAUUCUGGAGCAAAACAAAAGUAUAUGUGAAUGCCAAGCGGACUGGAGAAGCAGGAAGAGGACUACAAUGCAUUGUAUUCUGGCCAUCUUGGAUCCCAGCUGCAGCAGCAUCGUGGCUGUGUCGUACUGCUUCGCUGCGAGGUGCAGCCGGAUGGUCUCCAGUUUCUCGCGCUGCUCCUCCAGCGGGGGUUCCUGCAGCCGGGGCGAUUUGGG